rnacentral:pre_miRNA from 1 species
GUAGUACUCCCUCCGUCCCAAAAUUCUUGUCGUAGAUUUGUCUAAAUACAGAUGUAUCAAGUCACGUUUUAGUAUUAGAUACAUCCGUAUCUAGACGAAUCUAAGACAAGAAUUUUGGGACGGAGGGAGUACUAG